rnacentral:rRNA from 1 species
UGUGACUUUAAGUUUAACGGCCGCGGUAUCUUGACCGUGCGAAGGUAGCGUAAUCACUUGUCUUUUAAAUGGAGACCUGUAUGAAUGGCACCACGAGGGCUUAGCUGUCUCCUUUUUCAAGUCAAUGAAAUUGAUCUCCCCGUGCAGAAGCGGGGAUAACUACAUAAGACGAGAAGACCCUGUGGAGCUUUAGACCUAGUGCAGCCCACAAAAAUGCUUUAAAACAAAAAACAAACCCAACGAGCCCUGCACAACUGUCUUUGGUUGGGGCGACCGCGGGGAAAAACACAACCCCCACGAGGACUAGAAGUUUAACUCCUAUAACCAAGAGCCACGGCUCUAAGUCUCAGAAAUUCUGACCUACAAUGAUCCGGGCAACCGAUCAACGAACCAAGUUACCCCAGGGAUAACAGCGCAAUCCUCUUACAGAGCCCAUAUCGACAAGGGGGUUUACGACCUCGAUGUUGGAUCAGGACAUCCUAAUGGUGCAGCCGCUAUUAAGGGUUCGUUUGUUCAACGAUUAAAGUCCUACGUGAUCU